AUUGAACGCUGGCGGCAGGCUUAACACAUGCAAGUCGAGCGAGCGGCGGACGGGUGAGUAAUGUCUGGGGAACUGCCUGAUGGAGGGGGAUAACUACUGGAAACGGUAGCUAAUACCGCAUACCAUCAGAUGUACCCAUAUGGGAUUAGCUAGUAGGUGGGGUAAUGGCUCACCUAGGCGACGAUCCCUAGCUGGUCUGAGAGGAUGAUCAGCCACACUGGAAGUGAGACACGGUCCAGACUCCUACGGGAGGCAGCAGUGGGGAAUAUUGCACAAUGGGCGCAAGCCUGAUGCAGCCAUGCCGCGUGUAUGAAGAAGGCCUUAGGGUUGUAAAGUACUUUCAGCGGGGAGGCGUUACCCGCAGAAGAAGCACCGGCUAACUCCGUGCCAGCAGCCGCGGUAAUAC
rnacentral:rRNA from 1 species